UAUGGAGAGCAAUGUCAAUAAAAGCCCAUGAACCUUGUCAGGUCCGGAAGGAAGCAGCAAUAAGUGGUAACUUUUAUGUGAUAAUUGUUUUCCAUAGAG
rfam:Clostridium sp. CAG:492 genomic scaffold, scf54